GACGAACGCUGGCGGCGUGCUUAACACAUGCAAGUCGAACGGUAAGGCCCUUCGGGGUACACGAGUGGCGAACGGGUGAGUAACACGUGGGUGAUCUGCCCUGCACUUCGGGAUAAGCCUGGGAAACUGGGUCUAAUACCGGAUAGGACUCCGGACUGCAUGGUCUGGGGUGGAAAGCUUUUGCGGUGUGGGAGGGGCCCGCGGCCUAUCAGCUUGUUGGUGGGGUGAUGGCCUACCAAGGCGACGACGGGUAGCCGGCCUGAGAGGGUAACCGGCUACAUUGGGACUGAGAUACGGCACAGACUCCUACGGGAGGCAGCAGUGGGGUAUAUUGCACAAGGGGCGCAAGCCUGAUGAAGCGACGCCGCGUGAGGGAUGACGGCCUUCGGGUUGUAAACCUCUUUCAGCAUCGACGAAGCGAAAGUGACGGUAGGUGCAGAAGAAGGACCGGCCAACUACGUGCCAGCAGCCGCCGUAA
rnacentral:rRNA from 1 species